rnacentral:lncRNA from 1 species
GAGGAAGGUGCCCCCAGGCUCCUAGGCUGUACUUUACAACACACCGAAUUUACGAGCGCUCCUCGUAGCAAGGUUCAAGGGGGGACAAGCCGAGGCAGCCCCGGGCGGGCUCCUCUCCAAAGCAAAAGCGGGCGGGAAGGGAAGGAGAGAGGAGGCGAAAAAGUUCGGACUUCUCUGCACGACCCNCGAUGACUGUAAACAUAAAAUAGGGUGUUGUUAACACGAUUAUCAGAGAUACAGGUCACAACAACUUUACAAGUUCUUAAUUGGAAUCAUGAAACCAUUACUGAAGAGCAGGACAUCAAAGGGGCAUCUCACUGUCCUGCCGUCCCGAGCAGGGAGGAUUCCCAGCCCCACCAAAGACACAGCCAACAACAGGCUACAAACAGCAGAUGGACUUGCCGCGAUAAAGCUUACACAAGACAGUUUGAUUAUAAAAUCCAGAGGAGCAGACAAGAAGAGUAAACAAAGUAGGAGCUGGAGUCAAAGCCAAGGUGAGUCAGUCCGAAUGCAGUAUCCAGGAGCAUGAAGGUUGCUUG